rnacentral:rRNA from 1 species
CGGACGGGUGAGUAACGCGUGGGUAACCUGCCUCAUACAGGGGGAUAACAGUUGGAAACGACUGCUAAUACCGCAUAAGCGCACAGGGUCGCAUGACCUGGUGUGAAAAACUCCGGUGGUAUGAGAUGGACCCGCGUCUGAUUAGCCAGUUGGUGGGGUAACGGCCUACCAAAGCGACGAUCAGUAGCCGACCUGAGAGGGUGACCGGCCACAUUGGGACUGAGACACGGCCCAA